CAGCUGAUACAAUUAAAAAUAUUUUGCUCUUACCAAAAGACACUAUUUUGUCAGAAUACUGCAUGAAUUGUCUAAAGAAGAAAAAAACGUUUAAAGAGUUGACAAGUCUAUGUAACGCUGUCACUGAAGCUGCUUUAAAGUCAAAUAAAAACUGAACCAAAAUGGAUGUCAUCCAACAUAUUGGGAGAGUAAUUAGGCAUUCUUCUGACCGAAUAAAGAGAACAUCCACUAAUAUGGAUUUCGAUCAAUG
rnacentral:lncRNA from 1 species